rnacentral:rRNA from 1 species
UACGUAGGAUCCAAGCGUUGUCCGGAUUUACUGGGUGUAAAGGGUGCGCAGGCGGACUUGUUAGUCAGAGGUGAAAUCUCACGGCUCAACCGUGAAACUGCCUUUGAUACUGCAGGUCUUGAAUUGGGGAGAGAGUUGUGGAAUUCCGAGUGUAGCAGUGAAAUGUGUAGAUAUUCGGAAGAACACCAGUGGCGAAGGCAGCAACUUGGCCCCAGAUUGACGCUCAGGCACGAAAGCAUGGGGGUCAAACAGG